UACGUAGGGUGCGAGCGUUAAUCGGAAUUACUGGGCGUAAAGCGUGCGCAGGCGGUUCGUUGUGUCUGAUGUGAAAGCCCCGGGCUCAACCUGGGAAUGGCAUUGGAAACUGGCGAGCUAGAGUGUGGCAGAGGGGGGUGGAAUUCCGCGUGUAGCAGUGAAAUGCGUAGAGAUGUGGGGGAAUACCGAUGGCGAAGGCAGCCCCCUGGGCCAAUACUGACGCUCAUGCACGAAAGCGUGGGGAGCAAACAGG
rnacentral:rRNA from 1 species